rnacentral:rRNA from 1 species
GGGGAAUAUUGCACAAUGGGCGAAAGCCUGAUGCAGCGACGCCGCGUGAGGGAUGACGGCCUUCGGGUUGUAAACCUCUUUCGCUCAUGGUCAAGCCGCAACAAUGGUUGUGGUGAGGGUAGUGGGUAAAGAAGCGCCGGCUAACUACGUGCCAGCAGCCGCGGUAAUACGUAGGGCGCGAGCGUUGUCCGGAAUUAUUGGGCGUAAAGGGCUUGUAGGCGGUUGGUCGCGUCUGCCGUGAAAUCCUCUGGCUUAACUGGGGGCGUGCGGUGGGUACGGGCUGACUUGAGUGCGGUAGGGGAGACUGGAACUCCUGGUGUAGCGGUGGAAUGCGCAGAUAUCAGGAAGAACACCGGUGGCGAAGGCGGGCCUCUGGGCCGUUACUGACGCUGAGGAGCGAAAGCGUGGGGAGCGAACAGGAUUAGAUACCCUGGUAGUCCACGCUGUAAACGUUGGGCACUAGGUGUGGGGGCCACCCGUGGUUUCUGCGCCGUAGCUAACGCUUUAAGUGCCCCGCCUGGGGAGUACGGCCGCAAGGCUA